rnacentral:rRNA from 1 species
UACGUAGGGUGCGAGCGUUGUCCGGAAUUAUUGGGCGUAAAGGGCUCGUAGGCGGUCUGUUGCGUCGGGAGUGAAAACUCAGGGCUUAACCCUGAGCCUGCUUCCGAUACGGGCAGACUAGAGGUAUGCAGGGGGAGAACGGAAUUCCUGGUGUAGCGGUGAAAAUGCGCAGAUAUCAGGAGGAACACCGGUGGCGAAGGCGGUUCUCUGGGCACUACCUGACGCUGAGGAGCGAAAGUGUGGGGAGCGAACAGG